rnacentral:rRNA from 1 species
GAUGAACGCUAGCAGCAGGCCUAACACAUGCAAGUCGAGGGGUAGAGGAAGCUUGCUUCCUUGAGACCGGCGCACGGGUGCGUAACGCGUAUGCAAUCUGCCUUGUACUGGGGGAUAGCCCGGAGAGAUCCGGAUUAAUACCCCAUAGUAUAUAGAACUGGCAUCUUUUCUAUAUUAAAGAACUUCGGUACAAGAUGAGCAUGCGUCCCAUUAGCUAGUUGGUAUGGUAACGGCAUACCAAGGCAAUGAUGGGUAGGGGUCCUGAGAGGGAGAUCCCCCACACUGGUACUGAGACACGGACCAGACUCCUACGGGAGGCAGCAGUGAGGAAUAUUGGUCAAUGGACGCAAGUCUGAACCAGCCAUGCCGCGUGCAGGAUGACGGUCCUAUGGAUUGUAAACUGCUUUUUAUACGGGAAGAAACCCCCGUCUACGUGUAGAGGGCUGACGGUACCGUAAGAAUAAGGAUCGGCUAACUCCGUGCCAGCAGCCGCGGUAAUACGGAGGAUCCAAGCGUUAUCCGGAAUCAUUGGGUUUAAAGGGUCCGUAGGCGGCUUUAUAAGUCAGUGGUGAAAUCCGGCAGCUCAACUGUCGAACUGCCAUUGAUACUGUAGAGCUUGAAUUAUUAUGAAGUAACUAGAAUAUGUAGUGCAGCGGUGAAAUGCUUAGAUAUUACAUGGAAUACCAAUUGCGAAGGCAGGUUACUAAUAAUACAUUG